rnacentral:lncRNA from 1 species
CCGCUUGGUUGGCAGGUUGGCACUAUAGACACAAAGGAACGUUAAAAUGUGCAUAUGCCACAAAAAUGUCGGAUAUUCAUGUACCAUACACGCGCAAUAAUAUGCUCUGUUCCAUUGAUCGCUAGACUUGAAGGGAUCCCAGAAAGUGGUUGACUAAUAGCGUAAGAGUUUUGGUGAUUGACGAUAAAUAUUUAAUGUCGUAGUUGUUGAACUGACGCUUAUAAAACACCCAAAAAAUAAAUAAUCGCGAUAUUAUGACAAAAAGAAAAGCUGGCCAAUGGCGGCCGGUGCGAACCGGCA